rnacentral:rRNA from 1 species
UACGUAGGGGGCAAGCGUUGUCCGGAUUUAUUGGGCGUAAAGAGCGUGUAGGCGGUUUGGUAGGUCCGUUGUGAAAACUCGAGGCUCAACCUCGAGACGCCGAUGGAAACCAUCAGACUAGAGUCCGGAAGAGGGGAGUGGAAUUCCUGGUGUAGCGGUGAAAUGCGCAGAUAUCAGGAAGAACACCCGUGGCUAAGGCGGCUCUCUAGUACGGUACUGACGCUGAGACGCGAAAGCGUGGGGAGCGAACAGG